rnacentral:miRNA from 10 species
AGAUACUAUUGGGUUGGUGCAAAAGUAAUUGUGAUUUUUACCAUUAGAAGCAAUGGCAAAGACCACAGUUGGUUUUGCACCAAACUAAUA